UUGUGUAGAUGGAACUGCCAUUCACUGGCUUUGAGCUGACCUUCAUCAUCGUUGCCUUCAUCAUCUUCUCUCUCUUCAGUUUGGCUUCAGUCUGCUUUCAGCCACAGGCAGCCCAGCCAGAAAAAGAUGUCUAUCAAGUGAAGAAACUGCAGCCAUGUAACAGGAAGCAGAGAGUGAUCAUCAAAGAAGCUGGACAGAAUGCAUAAAGCAAACAUUAUAAACCUCAGCUGAGUGAAGGCAAAACUGAAAACACCGCUUACUGUUCUGUUUGUUUUGGAUUAGUGUUGACGCAAUGCCCAUUACAGUAGGUUCCCACAAUAAAGAUAAGGUGGCAAUAAACUUGUACCCUAUUAAUUAUACAGCUUCAUGAGUUAUGAGUAUCGCUAUAAGGUAAUCAUUAAGAAGUAUAACACAAAUGGCUAGUAGCAUAACGUGAUCUCAGCGUAUUUGUUUAGGUAUCUGGAGAGGACGAUUAGCUAAACUUGUAGAGCAAAGAUCGUGUUUGUACAGUUUAUCACUGUAACACCACAUCUUUUCUUUCCUCUAUGAUAAUUUGCUCUUUAGCUCCAUCUACAGUUUUCAAAAAGCAUCAGCUGAAUUCUAAACUGAGGCCAUGGAAAGGAGGUAGAGUUAAAUGCCGGGAGCUGAAGAACCAGACAGAGCCGAACACUGAUGCGCAGAUCUCUGACAAGCCGUGAUGUCUGAGUUAGGAUUUAACAAACCAAGUGACUUUAGGCCCCUGUAGCCCUCGUGGGGUGACAUCCCAGGGGGUUAGAGGCUGCUCCCUGUGGAGAAUGCCCCUCGACCCUUGAGCCCUCCGUCACUCCUCUGUAGUCAGCUGUCGUCUAGCUUUGGUGUGUAAUGAUGAUCCUGUGUGUGUGUGUGUGUGUGUGUGUGUGUGUGUGUACUGGGUGUGUACUCCUGUUCAUGUGUAUAUGCAGCCAUUGAGGUUAGUAUUGGGCUGUUGAAGAGAUAAAGGGUCUUCAGAGCAAUUAAGCUCUGGCUGGAUGGCUACAGCCCUCAUUAACACUGACGAUAUUGUGGCAUGACAACAGACCCACUAUCACUCUAAUGAUGGUCAAUGAACUAACUCAACAGGCCACAAUCCACACCCGUGCACACAGACACAAGGGCAAAGACACACCCCUACAAAUUCAGACAUCACGGCACAUUUCAACUAUGACCACUCGUUUCAUCACCUACACUCUGCUCCUGAAUGAGAAACAGAGCUCUGGCCAUCACGUCAGCUCUUUGAUUCAGAAGACCUUAGACUAUAGAAACAUCUCACAUGCAAACGAGAGGGGUGAUCAUUUUUAAAAAGAAACAAACGUAAACUCUUCCAUUUAAAGCACAAGGAGGUCAUAAUUAUAUGCAGUCUUUGGACUAUUUGUGAAUCUUAUAAUGUCUUAUAAUGCCAAUAUUUGUUUUUAUUCUGUUUAUUUUGGUUUUCUUGGUAUUCAUUCCCUCUUCUGUGCCAGAGAAACAAAGAAAUAUUAACUGUAAAUAUCAGCUUAGCUGUUGAACCACGUUGUCUUUGAACAUUCACCCAUCACUAAAUUGACCGAAUCUUAUUUUCAGGCAAGCAGUAUUUCCAACAAGGCUUAUAACAACCUAUAUGCCUAUAUUAGCCUUCAUUAUUUUCUCAUCUAAUCCAUUCUGUAUCAUAUUACCCAGAAAUUUCCCAGAAAUUCAGAACUCAUUCACAUUGUCUUUCUUGAACAACCAGCAAUGUGUAAAAUGGAAAUCUGUUCAGCUUUCUAUCAUAACAUGUAGCCCAACUGCUAAAUAUUUACAUUUGAGAACCUAUGAUGAAAAAUAUUUAUAACUAAAUAUUUCCGUUAAACCGACUGGUUCUGGUAUCUUUGUUUUCAGCAAAAUAAAUCCUUGAUAAAUCAUAAUGCUGUGUUAUAUUGGUCAUGAAAUAUUUCAAUAUUACCAUUGAGCAGUCCCGCUGCUCAUGACGUUUUAAUAUAACUGUGUCUAAUGUAAAAGGCAGUUGUGUAUGAAUGGUACUGUGAAAUCUGGUAAUAAAGAUGGAAAGUUUA